AGUGAACGCUGGCGGUAGGCCUAACACAUGCAAGUCGAACGGCAGCACAGUAAGAGCUUGCUCUUACGGGUGGCGAGUGGCGGACGGGUGAGGAAUACAUCGGAAUCUACUUUUUCGUGGGGGAUAACGUAGGGAAACUUACGCUAAUACCGCAUACGACCUACGGGUGAAAGCAGGGGAUCUUCGGACCUUGCGCGAUUGAAUGAGCCGAUGUCGGAUUAGCUAGUUGGCGGGGUAAAGGCCUACCAAGGCGACGAUCCGUAGCUGGUCUGAGAGGAUGAUCACCCACACUGGAACUGAGACACGGUCCAGACUCCUACGGGAGGCAGCAGUGGGGAAUAUUGGACAACGGGCGCAAGCCUGAUCCAGCCAUACCGCGUGGGUGAAGAAGGCCCUCGGGUUGUAAAGCCCUUUUGUUGGGAAAGAAAAGCAGCAGGUUAAUACCCCGCUGUUCUGACGGUACCCAAAGAAUAAGCACCGGCUAACUUCGUG
rnacentral:rRNA from 1 species